AAAACUAGCUAGUCUUUUGGGUAUGAAACCCAUUUGGGCGAGAGUACUACUAGGAUGGGUGACCUCCUGGGAAGUCCUCGUGAAAGGGUUUC
rfam:Triticum aestivum genome assembly, contig: Triticum_aestivum_CS42_TGACv1_scaffold_393132_5AS